AUGUCUACCAAUCAAAUGCUACUGUUUGUACAUUUAUGUAUAAAUAGGCCUGAGCAGAGCAGUAGACACAUCAAACGAAGAAGUGUUCUUUUCUGCUCCUCCUGUCUUCAACCACAAUACAUACAGAGAAAAGCUUCAAGCUCAGAUAUGGCUUUCCACCAAAGAUCGAUAAGUUUGCCUUCUAGGCCUCACAUCAGUGAGACCCAAGUUGAGCAAGAACUCCAGAGCCUAGAAGCAAGCAUCUCUUCCUCCAAUUCCAUCAGCACGAUGUGCGAUGGUCUGAGGAGUCUUGCAAACAUCUAUGAUGGUCUUGAAGAGAUUAUUUGCCUACCAGGCCACCAAGUUUUCUCCUCCCAGCAGAGGAAGAUGUUGGAUAGAGAGAUGGGAUGCUCCGUUGAGCUCUUAGAUCUCUGCAGCACCAUGCAAGAGACCUUUGCUGAGAUGGUGGUCAUCAUCCAAGAGCUGCAAGUGGCUCUAAGAAAAGGAGAUGAUGCAGCUGCUCAAGCCAAGAUCAAGUCUUUUACUCGCUUGACGAAGAAGGCCAGGAAACACUUCAAGAAAACUGCCAAGAAGGCUGCAUCCAACAAGAUGGUCAUGCUAUUGACCAACACAAGAGAGAUAUGCAUCUCUCUGCUGGAGUCCACACUCCAUCUCUUGUCGAAGCAAAUUGAAAUGCCAAAGCAGUCCCUUGUCUGCAAGGCAUUUUACAAGAAGAAGGCCGUUGUUUGCGAGGAGGGACAAUUGCAGGAGUUAGAGUGCAGCAUCGGAGAGCUUCAGGAUGGAGCAGGAAUUCUGUUCAGGAAAUUAGUCCAGAACAGAGUUUCUCUAUUAAACAUUCUUAGCUCAUAA
rnacentral:rRNA from 1 species